rnacentral:lncRNA from 1 species
GGAGCAGGAGGCCAUUGCAGUCGAGCUGGAUAAGCGUGUACUACACAGCGUCAUCCCUCUACAUCAUGUAAGUAUCCAGUCAGUGGGUCUCAAGCCCUUGGGGGAUCGUGUGCCCCCCUUGAAGCUCUGUCUGCUGGGCAUGUGACAUCCUUUUUGGCCAGCCCUGAGUGGUGGGAAGAGAAGCGCUUGUCAGUGGACCCCAGGAAAGGGAUUGCUCUGGCAGCAGCCCCACUCUCAGCCCUUUCUCCUUCAGGCACCGGGCAUCUUGAGGAGCAUCUACCAGUGGCUCGUGUCCAACACAGAACAGUCUGCCCAGCACCGCCUGGACAAGAGCCUUCUGGAACUGGCCGAGGAGCACCCCCACGACGUGGUGGUGACUCUGCUGCGCUGCUCCCCAGCGUGCGACAGGUAUGGUGCCCGCCUGCCCUGAUGGCUCGGGGCCCGUCAGCCUUUCGAGCCCAUCCAGUGCCAGCUGCCAGGCAGAUGGCAGUUUUCAGGGUGCUCUGCAGGGGCCGAGCUCUGCAUCGCCCCAUUUCCCAGCCCUGGCACGUCAGCCCCAGAGCCUGCCACCACAAUCCCUCCCUGCCCCACAGGGCCCGCCAGGGGCUGCCUGUGAGGGGCAGGGGGCAGAGGYAGGACUGGCRGCCAGCCUGGGCCCCUCCACGGGUGCCCAGGUCUUGGUGCUGUGGCCAAGGCCCCCCUGACCCAGCUCUCUGGCCCUGCAGAGCUGCCGUGACCAUGUGGAGGGUGAUGGUCGUCUCAUCCCGGACUAAAAAGAAGGUGAUGGCAGAGCUGUGCCGCGUGCUGAAGGACUGGCCCUUUCACAGGACGUCCACCUCUGACGGGGACAACACGGAUGUCUUCGCCCUGGCCGCAACCAGGGUGCUGUGGGAGCUCCUUCGGCCAGCCAACUACCCAAUGGAGGAGGAGAUGAGCUUCUCUCUACCCCUGAUGGUGUUGCUCUUCCAAAUCUUCGCAAGCGCGCAGCAGACACCAGAAGAGGUGGAGACCUUCUUCAGGGAAUGCCAGCAGGAGGAGGGCAUUGCCACCAGCCCUAGCAGGUGCUUCGUCCCCCUCCUCCCAUCCUUCCCAUGGUCCUGGAGCCUGGGCCAGGGAUCCGGGUGUGACCUGGGCUGUGCUCUGCCUGCAGGUUCGCACUGCUGACUCUGAAAGCACUGCUCUGCCGUGUUGGGUAUGAUAUGCUGGUGCUUGAAUUGGGAAAGAGGAAUA